rnacentral:rRNA from 1 species
CAGGACGAACGCUGGCGGUGUGCUUAACACAUGCAAGUGGUGCGACGAACCAGAGCUUGCUCUGGGGCAAAGCCGCGAACGGGUGAGUAACACGUGGGUAAUCUACCCCGAUGACCGGGACAACCCGAGGAAACUCGGGCUAAUACCGGAUGUGGUACGGAGACAUAAGUCUCUUUACUAAAGGUAGCUUCGGCUUCCGCAUUGGGAGGGGCCCGCGGCCCAUUAGCUAGUUGGUGGGGUCAAGGCCUACCAAGGCAACGAUGGGUAGCUGGUCUGAGAGGACGAUCAGCCACACUGGGACUGAGACACGGCCCAGACUCCUACGGGAGGCAGCAGUGGGGAAUCUUGCGCAAUGCGCGAAAGCGUGACGCAGCAACACCGCGUGAGGGAAGACGGCCUUAGGGUUGUAAACCUCUUUCAGAUGGGAC